rnacentral:rRNA from 1 species
UAGGGAAUCUUCGGCAAUGGGGGCAACCCUGACCGAGCAACGCCGCGUGAGUGAAGAAGGUUUUUCGGAUCGUAAAACUCUGUUGUUAGAGAAGAAUGUGUAGGAGAGUAAAAAGUUCUUACAGUGACGGUAUCUAACCAGAAAGGGACGGCUAACUACGUGCCAGCAGCCGCGGUAAUACGUAGUCCAAGCGUGUCCGGAUUUAUUGGGCGUAAAGCGAGCGCAGGUGGUUUAAUAAGUCUGAUGUAAAAGGCAGUGGCUCAACCAUUGUAUGCAUUGGAAACUGUUAGACUUGAGUACAGUAGAGGAGAGUGGAAUUCCAUGUGUAGCGGUGAAAUGCGUAGAUAUAUUGGAGACACCGGUGGCGAAGCGGCUCUCUGGACUGUGACUGACACUGAGGCUCGAAAAGCGUGGGUAGCAAAACA